UACGAAGGGGGCUAGCGUUGUUCGGAAUUACUGGGCGUAAAGCGCACGUAGGCGGAUCGAUCAGUCAGGGGUGAAAUCCCAGGGCUCAACCCUGGAACUGCCUUUGAUACUGUCGAUCUGGAGUAUGGAAGAGGUGAGUGGAAUUCCGAGUGUAGAGGUGAAAUGCGCAGAUAUCGGGAAGAACACCCGUGGCGAAGGCGGCUCUCUGGGACGGUACUGACGCUGAGACGCGAAAGCGUGGGGAGCGAACAGG
rnacentral:rRNA from 1 species